UACGUAGGGGGCAAGCGUUGUCCGGAAUCAUUGGGCGUAAAGAGCGUGUAGGCGGCCAGAUAAGUCCGCUGUGAAAUCUCGAGGCUCAACUUCGAGCUGUCGGUGGAAACUGUCUGGCUAGAGUCCGGAAGAGGAGAAUGGAAUUCCUGGUGUAGCGGUGAAAUGCGCAGAUAUCAGGAAGAACACCGAUGGCGAAGGCAGGUCUCUGGGCUGACACUGACGCUCAUGCACGAAAGCGUGGGGAGCAAGCAGG
rnacentral:rRNA from 1 species